rnacentral:rRNA from 1 species
UACAGAGGGUGCAAGCGUUGUUCGGAAUUAUUGGGCGUAAAGGGAGUGUAGGCGGCUUGUUAAGUCUUCUGUGAAAUCUACGGGCUCAGCCUGUAACGUGCAGAGGAAACUGGCGAGCUUGAGUGUCGGAGAGGAUAGGGGAAUACCCGGUGUAGAGGUGAAAUUCGUAGAGAUCGGGUGGAACACCAGUGGCGAAGGCGCCUAUCUGGCUGACAACUGACGCUGAGACUCGAAAGCAUGGGGAGCAAGCAGG